rnacentral:rRNA from 1 species
GAUGAACGCUGGCGGCGUGCCUAAUACAUGCAAGUCGAGCGAACAGACAGCGAGCUUGCUCCUUUGACGUUAACGGCUGACGGGUGAGUAAGCCGUCGAGAACCUACCUAUUAGACUUGGAUAACUUCGGAAAGCCAGAGCCAAUACCAGAUAAUAUAAUUAACCGAAGAGAUCAAUAGAGAAAAACGGAUUUGCGGUAACGUUAAGGUGGUACCACGCCGCAUUGCCUAGUUGGUAAGGUAACGGCUUACCAAGGCAACGAAGCGUAUCCGACCUGAGAGGGUGAUCGGCCAAACUGGAACUGAGACACGGUCCAGACUCCUACGGGAGGCAGCAGUAGGGAAUCUUCCGCAAUGGGCGAAAGCCUGAUGCAGCAACACCGCGUGAGUGAUGAAGGUCUUCCGAUCGUAAAACUCUGUUGUUAGGGAAGAACAAAAGUGUAAUUAUAUCUGAACGUAUUGACGGUACCUAAUCAGAAAGCCCCGGCUAACUACGUG